UACAGAGGUCCCAAGCGUUUGUUCGGAUUCACUGGGCGUAAAGGGUGCGCAGGUGGUUUGGCAAGUUUGACGUGAAAGCCCCGGGCUUAACCCGGGAAUGGCGUUUGAGAACUGCUUGAACUGGAGGGUCGGAGGGGGGACUGGAAUUCUUGGUGUAGCAGUGAAAUGCGUAGAUAUCAAGAGGAACACCAGUGGCGAAGGCGAGUCCCUGGACGAUACCUGACACUGAGGCACGAAAGCCAAGGGAGCAAACAGG
rnacentral:rRNA from 1 species